rnacentral:lncRNA from 1 species
ACCGAGAAAGUUCAAAGAAUGCAAAAAAAUUAAAUUCAUUACCUCAAUUAUGUGGACCACAUUUUUCAAAUAAUAUUUUGUUCCUAACCAACCAAAUAUUCCAUAUAGUGACAAACCAUAGUGAUGUCCAUUGUUUCUUGUAUUUUUUAUCCAUCCUCAACAUAUUAGUAUGUAAAGAUAAGUUGCUCUUGAUAUCAUUAGGGAUAACUCAGAGAAGACCAAACCGAUAAUAGAGGUUCUGCCAAAUAUAAUAGGAUUUAGGACAUGAGAAAAACGAGUAAUUUAUUGAUUCAUCCGCAAUACCACAAAUAACACAAAAUAGUGGGACAUGUGACCAUCGGUAGUUAUUUAUUAUUCAAGUAUGAUACUAAUAACAUCAUUAGUUCUGGAUAUAUGAUCUUAGGAACUCCUAACGAUUAAUUAUUUUAUGAUAGCACAAGAAUAUCAUCUGACAAGGACUUUAAUUUGUCAAAAGAUGGUAUAUACAAUACAAUUACGAUACUGGGAAAAGGUAUUUUAUUAAAGUAAUCACGGUACCUAAUCGUUGUUCAGAAAUGUGAUUAGAUCACAAAUUAGUUACUUUUUAAGAAUAAAACAGAUUCUCCACAAGUUCAUGUCUUGCGUAUUAGAGAUCAUGUAGGCUCUCUCAAGCCCCCAAAAGGCGUCCAAUACAGUAUGGAAUAAUAAUCAUCUUUUGUUUUCUUUAGAAAAUAAUUAAUUCUUAUUCAAGUAAAUAUAAAUUCUUUUUUAUUUAAGCAAUCUCUCAAACCUUCUUGACAAACUACUGUCAUUGCCUCUCAUAUUCAAAUUCACAAUAAUAUUUUUAUCACCAUAUUUUUCCAUUUUCUCUAACUUCGACCACAAGAAUACAAUACAUACGUACUAACCGAAGUUAGCCCAUUAUGUAUUUUAGUCAACGUUUUCUCAAUUUUUAGUUCAACAUGUAUCACCUAAGUUAAUCAUCUCAACUCUAUUGAAUUUUUAGUUUGUCAAGUCCAACAAAUAAGUUCAAUAUGCUAACAUAACACAUAACACAUUGUGUGAAUAGUCAUAAGCACUCAACAAAUCCAAUCUUUCCAAAUAUAUUACAUAAGUUAGUUAUCUUAACCCUAAUGUAUUUUUACUAUGUCAUUCCUCAGUUCGAGCUCAAGACACUAACUUAAUUAUGAAAUAUCAAUGAGUAAAGUCACAAAUAUCACUAUAGUUUCAAGUGCAGAUUAGUCAUAAGCUCUCGACCAACUCGUUGUCCAUCCUUAACUAUAAAAUAUUUUAUCAAACAAAAUAUUUUAGAGCUCUUAUCCCCAAUUACACAAAAACUCUAAUAUAUUUUCUUCUUUUCUCAAAAUACUACCUCUUAUUCCUCUCUUGUUUUUACUCCUCACGUAUUAGAUACUAAUUUUCCUAAUUCUAAAAAUUAAUUGAUUUUCAAUUCUCAUAUUUAAUAUUUAUUUUACCUGAAGAAAAGAUAAUAAUCUCAUUCAUUGUUAUUUAAACAGCAGUAGUAAUUACAGUUUAUAGGCUAAAACUAAUUUUAAUUAAGGAAAUAAAUAAUCUGAGCAUAUCUCCUAAUUAAUAUUAUAGUAUGUACAAAUCCCCUAAUUAAUACUAUAAAUAAAAAACAUAUCUUCUAAUGAUAACAAGAUUCUCCCCAUAUUACAAUAAUUUUUAGUACCCAUAUAAAGUUUUUCAUACUUUUCACCCCUAACUUAUAGCUUUCUUAAGUAUACUCAAACCCCAAAUUUGAAAUCUAUAUAAUUUUCAUACCACACAACAAUCCACAACAUAAUAAUUGCAUUUGGAUAUCUGAGUUCCAACCUUGCCAAAAACAAUACAAAAUAUAUAAUGACAACAAGCAAUAAAAAUUAACCAAAUAACAUUUGCAUUUUGGAUAGUUCAACAUGUGUGAGUACCUCAUAUUAUGGUAAAUAUGAACAAAUUCAUAAACAUAUAUUUACAACAAAUCAAAAACAUUGUGAGUACCUCAUAUUAUGGUAAAUAUGAACAAAUUCAUAAACAUAUAUUUACAACAAAUCAAAAAUUAAAAACUCUAUACAUUGUUAUGAAAAAAAUUAAAAACUCUUAUAUGGAAAACAUUUUUUAUGAGAAUUCAUAAUCUAUAAGACUCUCCAACUUUAAAGCGCAUAAAAGAACUUCAAUGAAACUCUAGAUCGCAUUGGUUUUCUCUCUCCCCUUAAUCACUUUAUCUCAUAACACAUUAACGCUAGCAUCCAAACUAAAUACUUUAAAUCAUCACAGAGAUAUAAAAAUGGUUACACCUUUACGAAACCAAUUUCAUUUAUAAAUCAAACUUGUAAUAGUUUAAAACUAUUAAAGGAGUAACUAAUUUAAAUAAUAAUGGUAGUAGUGACACAGUAAUAGUAAUAAUAGUAAGAGUAGUAAUAAUAUAACUAUAGUAGUAUUAAUAAUAUAGUAGUAAAGUUAUUUGAUAAAUAAAUAUAAUUUUCCAUGUAUAAUAAGUUAUAAUUAAUCUCAUUAUUACCUCUAGGCAAAUCUUGGGUGACAUUGCAGUUUUUGGAAAGACCCGGAUAUUUGAGGAUUCCAUGUUUGGUAUAUCCACAAAUCAGUGUGUGGUGAUGAAUUCAAGAUGUUGAGGCAUGAAAUCGGAGCAUUUAUCAAUUGGGACUAUAAAUAAAAGAAAAAGAUAAGAGAGAAAGAGUCAAAGAGGAACAAAGAGAUAAAGGAAAAGUGGGUGUGGGAUAUGAGAGCACAAAGGUAUUUUUGGCAUUUUUAAUGGGACCGACACUUAAAUCAAAU